AAGGUGGGGCUGAUGACUGGGGUGAAGUCGUAACAAGGUAGCCGUACCGGAAGGUGCGGCUGGAUCACCUCCUAACAGGGAGACAAACAAUGAUUUUGAUGUCUGAGUUCUUUAUUCUUAGUCCAAAAUCCUGUCACCUUAGGUCGAUCGGUACCUCAACUUUGAAGUCAAGAAAGAGCUAGAGAUAGUAAUUUGCUUGGUGGAGAAUUUUAGUUCCUAAACUUUGUCUAGGUCACACCCCAUAAGGGAUGAGACUCCUGGGCCAUUAGCUCAGGUGGUUAGAGCGCACCCCUGAUAAGGGUGAGGUCCCUGGUUCAAGUCCAGGAUGGCCCAUUCGGUGUUGGGGGUUUAGCUCAGUUGGUAGAGCGCCUGCUUUGCAAGCAGGAUGUCAGGAGUUCGAGUCUCCUAACCUCCACUGACCGCAAUGAAUCCACAACUCCGAAAAAUCGGAGUAUGAACUCGUAUGGAUUGUGAUUUAGAUGUGUCCGCUAGCAAGAUCCUAGCUUCUUGUCAUUUUAAAAGAUGGAUUUUCCCAUAGUUAAUUGAUAGGAUGCUGGGCUCAAUUAAUGUAUUGAGAGAUCAAUGCAUUAUUUUGAUGUCUAGCCGAACCUUGACAACUGCAUAGUAAGUCUGGAAAGAAUAAAGCAUCUCAUAGAUGCAUCAUUCUUGAUAGUUAAUUCUUGAUUGAAUGGUGUUAAUUCUAAGAGCAAGAGCCGAGACUCCAAUCACGUUCUUUCAAAUGUGUCGAGCAUUUGAGAGUUUGAUUUUAAUUUCUAUUUUUAGAAAUUAGAAGAAUCUGUUUCAACAACAGCAAGCGUGUUGGAGAUACAUUGGUCAAGCUACAAAGGGCUCACG
rnacentral:misc_RNA from 1 species